CUAGCAUAUUAAGGUGUGGUUGAGAAUUAAGCUCAUUAGCUAUAGUGACUGUGCUAAGGAAAGAAAGCCUGGUGUGAUGGCUUUAACCUCUGCUUUUGUUUUAGAAGUCAGACUGGACAUCGUGCCACACACCUUUAUUUUCAGAUUUAUGUUUGUAUUAUUUUUAUUUGUAUUGUGGUGCAUGUAUAAUAUAUGUAUGCAUCAGAUCCCCUGGAGCUGGAGUUACAGGCAGUUAAUGAGCUACCUAACAUGGGGGCUGGGAACAGAACUCUAGUACUCUGGAAGUAAGUGCUCUUAACCCGAGACCCAUCUCCCCAGCCCCAAAGACACAUAUCUUAAAUUCCAGCACUUGGGAAUCUGAGGCAAGAGGGUAAAGUCUCAUCAGGACUGGCUGCUCAGUGGUAUAUUUUACAUAAAUCUUGUAUCUAUUGAAAAUGGUACUUUGAAUUGUACCAAUUUGCUUUCUUUGCCUAUUGAUGUUUUUGAGAGUUGUAUAGUAUAGAUCAGUGUCUCUAAAAUGCUGGGCAGAUUGCCAUCCUGUGACGGCCAUGUCUGACUUACCCAUUUCUCUUCUAUUGUGACUUCAUUUUUUGCUAUUACAAAAUACUGCAUAGGAGCAUUGCUGUACCAUGUCAUAGUUUUUCAGUAUGUAUCUUUGUGUUGAUUCCCAGAAAGGGAAUUAUGGCAACAUAGGCUAUCUCUAUAUUUGUUUCCAGUAGACAUUUCUAAUCUGUCCUCCAGCACUGUUCACUCAAUAUUUUUCUUGAAGUGAUCUGAGGUCUAACUAUCUACAUAUUUCAUCUCAAGUAGCAAUAUCUAUGAAAUCACAAGUUUAAUGUGAUAGUUGUGUUUUCUAAUACAUGUUAAAAGGCAUGACUGAGCAAGCUUAUGUUCACCCAAAGACACAUACCACCCUUGGCUGGUGCCAUCAUUUGGAAAAUGCUGCCAGAGUUUGAGGAUCAGACUCAGUUCAAAUCCUAGCUAUAGAAACUUGGACAAGUUCCUUAGGACCCUCAGUUUCUUCAUUUUUUAAAAGAUGAUAAAGUGCCUACUCGCAGCCCUAAGGAGGAAGAUAAUGUGGAAUGUAUUUGAAGCAGUUUGACUGAUGUAUCUAUUAUUAUGACUUUAAAAUAUCUUUUGAUUUUU
rnacentral:lncRNA from 1 species